rnacentral:rRNA from 1 species
GUCUCGUAGAGGGGGGUAGAAUUCCAGGUGUAGCGGUGAAAUGCGUAGAGAUCUGGAGGAAUACCGGUGGCGAAGGCGGCCCCCUGGACGAAGACUGACGCUCAGGUGCGAAAGCGUGGGGAGCAAACAGGAUUAGAUACCCUGGUAGUCCACGCCGUAAACGAUGUCGACUUGGAGGUUGUGCCCUUGAGGCGUGGCUUCCGGAGCUAACGCGUUAAGUCGACCGCCUGGGGAGUACGGCCGCAAGGUUAAAACUCAAAUGAAUUGACGGGGGCCCGCACAAGCGGUGGAGCAUGUGGUUUAAUUCGAUGCAACGCGAAGAACC